rnacentral:lncRNA from 1 species
AUAGUUAAUGUGAUGUCGUCUUUGCAGUGCCUACCAGAAUAAUGACAUCAGUGAGUUUGAGUUAAUAUUGAAAACCAACAGGAGAAACAUAAUGGAUGACCCUUUCAUCAGAGAGCACAUUGAAGAUCUGCUUAGGAACAUUAGAACACAAGUCUUAAUAAAGCUCAUCACACCUUAUACUAGGAUUCACAUACCUUUCAUAUCAAAGGAGCUCAACAUAGACUCAAGUGAGGUGGAAAAUCUUCUAGUAUCCUGUAUCUUGGACAGGUGGGC